rnacentral:lncRNA from 10 species
CGCAAAGAGGAGCCUGCUGGUCUGCUGGCGGGCAGGCGGCGCUGGGCCGGAGCCUCUCCCUCCGGUGCGCACAGCGCACCCUCUCCUCCCCCGGCCGCCCGUCGCAGCGCGGAGAGGGCGUGUCGGCACCCUGCCUGGCGAGCGCCCACCCCUACAAUGGCUGCGAGCGCGCGGGACGGAGGGUGCACCGCCGCUCCCCGGGGACUUGCACGGGUGGCGCGCCUAGCCCAGAGCCCGCUUGUAGUGAGCGCUCAGUAGGGCGGGAAAGCUGCUGCCGCUACUGCGGCCUUCUGAGAAGACGCCCAUUCUCUGAUGUCAGGACUGCAUCGCCGAGUCCUGAUUGCAAAUAGCGAAAUAUAUAAUUAAGGAGAGUUCGGGGGCGUAUCCUGCAAUGGGAUGCCGAGUUCGAUAAAGUUGCAGGAUGCUGGGAAAGUGGAUUGAUUUGCUGUUGCUAAAUGAAUGGAAACAGCGUUAGAGCUUCUGUCCACGAUCCAUCAGUCUAUCGAGAUUGCUGAUUGCCUAUGACUUGGACGGUUGAUGGUUUUCAGGCCCACUGAGAGCAGCCAGCGUUGGUAUAACCGCAGGGAGCCCUCCUGGGAGGUUGAACCUGCAGAGCGCAAAUGUGCCCAGGUUGAUUUGGGGCCUAGUGGUCCAUUUUCACAGCUCCACUGCCUAUCUGCAUAACCAGGAGCCCUCAUUCAGAUGAACGCCAAAUGGGCCAGAGGGAGGAGAAUCAAAUGAGCAACUUUUAAAAGAUAUUAAGACAUAGGCACCUAACUCCGGACAGUUCCUUUAACCCUUGAGCUAACCAUUUGAAGCACAAAACAUAACAAAAGAAAAGACUGGGGGGAGUGGGGCCAAAAGAAACCAAGUGCAAAAUUCUGUACACUUGUGUCAGAUUCACUCCGUAAUGGGAAAAGGUCUGGCUUUGAAAACUUUAUGGAUCAAAGGGAUGCAUGGAGUUACACAGCACAGCUGCAGAAGAUAAUGUUCCCCUGGAUCACUCUGCCCAACUCUUAACUGCAACCCACCUUCCCCAUCCGUCUCCCCGAAAUCACCCGGAAGGGUGUUACCUUCAGGAAGUAACUGAUCUCUUGAUCACCCCUGCUGGAUCCUGUCCCCAAGGGCGUUCGAAUGCAUCCGACUCAUCUUCACCUUGCCAAUAACGGGUGCUUGACACAUCGUUUGCUGCCAAUCAUUAUUGUGAUUUUAAUACUAUUGGUAUUCUAACUAUCAAGAUGACUGCUUGUAGAGCCAGAUUGCCUGGAUUCAAACUCCAGUUCACAACCUACUAACUGUAUGCCUUUAGGUAAACUCAGAUGCCUCUGAUGGAUUCGAAAUAACCAGAUAUAUUUCUGAAUUGCUUCAUAUGAUGAAGAAACUGAGGCACAGAAGGUGGGUCAGGAGGGAGGAAGCAAAAGAGCUAGAAUUCAAACAUAGCAGCAUGACUUCGAGCCCACUGUCUUAACCACUUCAGAUAACUGCCUCUAAUGCAAAGACCCCUCUCGAAGGUCAGAAGUUUCACAAACACUGCCUUAAGUCUCAUGGCUAACUGGGAGGCCCCACAGAGCAACGUGGCUGUGCAUUAGACUCACCUGAGGAGCUUUUAAAACAUACCUAAGCUUGGCUAGGCACGGUGGCUCACAUGUAUAAUCCAAGCACUUUGGGAAGCUGAGGUGGGAGGAUCACCUGAGCCUAGGAGCUCAAGACCAGCCUGGGCAACAUAGUGGGACCGCAUCUGUACAAAAAAUUAGACAGCUGUGAUGGCAUGUGCCUACAGUCCCAGCUACUCAGGAGGCUGAGGUGAGAGGAUCGCUUGAGUGCAGGAUGUCAAGUCUGCAGUGAGAUGUGUUCACACCAUUGCAUUCCAGCCUGGAUGACAGAACGAGAACUUGUCUCAAUUAAAAAACAAAACAAAACAAACAAAAAAAAAACAAAACCCAAGCUUGAAGCAAAUACCAUAAUGGGGUAACAUUUGGGAAAUCUAAUGAAGGGGAAAUGAGAUAUCUUUGUACUAUUCUUGCAACAUUUCUAUAAGUCUGAAAUUAUGUCAAAAUAAAAAAUUAAAAGAAAAAAGAAUGAAUUAGAAUAAUAUUCAUUGACCUGGAGGGAUUUCUGCAGAAAUUAUUGUCUUCAUAGUAAGAUCCAGAAAAGUAUGUGUUAUGUGAUCCUGCUUCUGUAAAACAAACACUAACAAAAUCCAUCCACACACACCCAUUCACAUAUGCACGUGCAUCUGUAUGUCUUUAUGUGAUAAUGGAAUAAAACAUGCAUGAUACAUUUUUAAAAAUUCCAUAGCAAACCUCUGCCAGAGGUUCUUCUUGAAUUGUUUAGGAGUAGAACCUGGUCCUGGGUACUUUCUUUCAAAGUUUCCUAGAUCAGUGUUCUUAAUGUUGCCACACAUUUGAAUCACCUGGGAAGCUCUGAAACAGCCUGAUGGCCAGAUGACAGCCCAGGACAAUUAAAUCAGAUUCACUGGGAAUGGAGCCCAGGUAUGGAUGUUUUAAAAUUCCCAAGGGGAUUCCAAUGUACAGCCAAUUUGAGGACGAGGCAAGGUCCUUUGAGCAGCCAGAGUUGAGAAUCACUCCUGAGGAACAAGGGAACUCAUGUGUGUAGCCCCUACUAUGUGAUAGGCCUUUGACAUCCACUUUAAUCCUAGGAAUAGCCAGUGAGGUAGGAACUCCCAAGGAAAUAGAGGCUGGCUCCAGAGAUCAGAUAGCCUGCCAGAGGUCACAGAACUACAAGAAGGCAGUGCACACUCUAACCCCAUCAUCCACUGGGCAGUUUGGCAGGAAGCGGGGAGGGGAGUUGUUUUGGGAAGACUUCACUGACUCUCAAUCUCUCUUCUCCAAGACCACAGGGGUUGAAAUUUGUCUAAUAGAGAUUCUUUCCUUUGGGUUCCUCCUCAUAG